rnacentral:precursor_RNA from 1 species
UGAUGAUGAUCGUGAUGAUGAUGAUGAUGAUGAUCGUGAUGAUGAUGAUGAUGAUGAUCGUGAUGAUGAUGAUGAUGAUGAUGAUCAGCUUUUUAC